rnacentral:rRNA from 1 species
AUGCCUAGGAAUCUGCCUGGUAGUGGGGGAUAACGUUCGGAAACGAACGCUAAUACCGCAUACGUCCUACGGGAGAAAGCAGGGGACCUUCGGGCCUUGCGCUAUCAGAUGAGCCUAGGUCGGAUUAGCUAGUUGGUGAGGUAAUGGCUCACCAAGGCGACGAUCCGUAACUGGUCUGAGAGGAUGAUCAGUCACACUGGAACUGAGACACGGUCCAGACUCCUACGGGAGGCAGCAGUGGGGAAUAUUGGACAAUGGGCGAAAGCCUGAUCCAGCCAUGCCGCGUGUGUGAAGAAGGUCUUCGGAUUGUAAAGCACUUUAAGUUGGGAGGAAGGGCAUUAACCUAAUACGUUAGUGUUUUGACGUUACCGACAGAAUAAGCACCGGCUAACUCUGUGCCAGCAGCCGCGGUAAUACAGAGGGUGCAAGCGUUAAUCGGAAUUACUGGGCGUAAAGCGCGCGUAGGUGGUUUGUUAAGUUGGAUGUGAAAUCCCCGGGCUCAACCUGGGAACUGCAUUCAAAACUGACUGACUAGAGUAUGGUAGAGGGUGGUGGAAUUUCCUGUGUAGCGGUGAAAUGCGUAGAUAUAGGAAGGAACACCAGUGGCGAAGGCGACCACCUGGACUGAUACUGACACUGAGGUGCGAAAGCGUGGGGAGCAAACAGGAUUAGAUACCCUGGUAGUCCACGCCGUAAACGAUGUCAACUAGCCGUUGGAAGCCUUGAG